GGUGCAAGGAUUGUAUGUCAAGUUAGACUCUUGCCAUCUCAAAUCACCUACAUUUCAUGCUGUGGCUGCAUGUACCAUAAGCAGGUAUUACAUUAAACUCACCUUUAAACUGCUUUAAUCAUAGAUGUAUGAAAAUACCUUGCUUUUCCCCCACUUUUGAAUACAUUUCAGGGAAAACUAAAGUGGUUAUAAAACUGUUUCCCACACAGAUAUUCCUAAACAUGUGCAAAAAUGCUCACUGUUGUUUAAAUGGUUGUGAAAAUAACUUGAAUAUUUAAUGCAUCCAAAACAACACUGGCUGAGAAGUUACUAAUGUUGCAAGACUAGAAUGAAAAGUAUGAUAAAUGCAUGGACAGUUAUUGUACAGAUUCUUUGCAGAGAACCUUUGCAUGUAUUUCUUAAUCAUGAACCUGGGACACAGCACUGUAUUUCUUUCAUUAGAUUGUCCUCUUAGGUGGCUUAUAUUUUGGGGAUUUGUCUCACAAUAUUGAGACCUCUAAGAGAAGUAUCUUCAAAUUCAGCAAGGGAGGCAAAUGGCCUACAGGCAUAGGUGAAGGAAGAAAUAAAAUGGUGAACAAAAGAACAAGGAACUAGGAGAGGCCAGGGCUGGUUUUGGUGAUGAAGUCCUCAUCACUGUUACCUGGGAAGGACAACAGUGCUCUUAGACCUCUUUACACACCUGUCUUUGACAGUCAUAGACCACAGAGAAACAAUAUCUUGUGUUCUAGAGAAAGCUCCCUCGCGCCUUUCUUUAAACUAUCCAAUUCAACAAGCUCUCAAUCUUAUCCGAGAACUGACAGUUAGAAUAAAAAUAUUUCAUUGCUUUGUUUCCUCUUCUGAGGAUAUAAUCAAAUUGCCAUCUUUCCCCUUGCUUUUCAUUGCCCUUUGCUGAAACAUACUGUCUGUGUAUAUUAAUAUUACUAACUUCCACAGGAAAAUUAAGAAGCUGAUAGAGAAAAAGGGUUCCACCACCAAAGCCUCGGAGUGGUCAAACUGAUCAAAAGAGGGACAUGAAGGCUCAGUAUUAUCAAAAAAGGGACACGAAGCCUCAGUAUUUAGUUUUGUUUUUGGUCUCUAUGGAAAUUACAAUGACCUAUGAAUUUACUAUCUAUGGUCCUAAAUUGAAUUUCUGGUAAAGACAGAUAUAUGUAUCAUAUAUUAAAAUGUUAAUAGUCCUGAAGGAAUUUUUAGCUAAUAUUAGNAAAAUGUUUCAUCUCUCUUCAAUUAUCUGUUCAUCUAUUUAUAAAUUUCUCUUGUAUACUCAGCACUGGCUCAAGGGCCAUGGGGGUACCACCAGGUAGACUUGUUCUCUGUCUUUCAUCAAUUACAAUAUAUUUGGAGAAAAAAUUAGAACAAUAGAGAAAAAAUUCAGGGGUACUAUAUUGCAGCAGAAAUUGCUACUGAAAGUUAUAGUAUUAAAAAACAUUCCAGUUUCUUGCUGAAAGUCCCCAGGGGGCAGGGGGAUUGCUAAUUGCCAUGAUUUCAGAUGGGAAAGCAGGAAUACAGACAUGAUGGUAACAAACACCUGGGGACAGUUAAGAGCCAGUGGUGGCCAUAGAGAAGGGCCAUCUUGGGGAGCAAUAUCAUAUCUUUGAACUAUGUGGCAGAACUUCAUUGUUAUGUAUUCUUCACUGAAUAGGUCAUAUAUUUUUUGACAACGAAUAUUCUCAUCAACUCCCUUGCCAUGCCUUACCACCCCUAGCUUGUUAGUGGAGAAAAAUUUACUCCUUAGGAAAUGAUUCCACUAUAACUGAAGCCAAUCUGCACAUCCAAAGUUCAAAAUCCACCAAAUAGACAUGUCAGGAGCAUUUGGUGGAUUGGAUAGAGUAUCAAUAUCUUAUUUUAACUCUUCCUCUAACCCUCAAGGAUUAGAGCCUCCAUCUCAAUGUCAGUAGCACUAAAAUCCUUUCAACAUUGAUCUAUGUACCCACUUGUCUGGUAUUACAAUUAAAAUGAUGUUUUAGUUUUUCUUCUCAAUGGGAUUGAAUGUUUUAAGGACCGGAGUAGGUCUGACAUAACACUAAAUUGUAGAUGCUAAAAUCAGGUUGAAUUUAAUGGAUUUAUAGGACCAUAAUUUGUUUUUCUUUUUUUUUCACUUUUGUUGUUGUUGGAGGAUGGUGAAAUUCUCACCUCUCGAGGUAAUCUGGGUAGGGUGGGGGUCAUCAUUUCACAAAUGCCUGGUUGAUACUACCAUGUAUUUACUGAUCUAUUUCAUUUAAAGUUUUCCUCUGAUGGCCUUGACUGUGCCCUAACAAAGCUGUUAAAACUGGUCCGGGAGUUCCUGUCAUGGCUCAGCAAUAACGAACCUGACCAGUAUGAGGACACGGGUUCCCUCACUGGCCUCGCUUUGUGGGUUAAGGAUCCAGCAUUGCCAUGAGCUGUGAUGAAGGUCAGACUCAUCUCAGAUGCCGUGUUUUUGUGGCUGUGGUGUAGGCUGGUGACUACAACUCCAAUUCGAGCCAUAGCCUGGGAACUUCCAUACGUUGUGGGUGCCACCCUAAAAAGACAAAAAUAAUUAAAAUAAAAAAUUAAAUAAAGCUAGUCUGGGGAGGCCAUCUUCGUUCCUUUGUAGAACAACAGAAACUGUAUACCCGCACCAUGUUUUGCAUACAGGGGUCUCCAACAAAGGGCAGGAAAGAUGAUAAUGAUCUCUUCCUAUCACAAGAAAAAAAAAAUCAAAGCAAGAAAGCAAUGGUUGAUUACGCUUAAUGCUUUUAUAGAUUUUCCUCCUUUCAGUCCCUCCGUCAUCUUCUGAUCUGUUGUUUAGAUACACCCUUUGAAGCAGCCUGUGCAUGGACACAUGUGAAGUUACCUUGUGCCUCCUUCAAUAUUGUUAUGAUAAAUAUUUCAUUUUUCCCUAGCUUCAAAUUCCUCUUGACAUAGAAAGGUUUUUCCUUUUCCUGAGUCAUGGUAUUGUUAUGGAUUCCACAAACAUUUAUAUCUACUCUUCCUCAUCUCUUCGUCUAGGGGUAAAGAAACCCAGCUUGUAUCUCAGCUGUUAGGAACCCCAGUGGCCACAGACUAGCUUUCUACACUUGGAAGUUCAUCAGGUGUAAAAUGGAAGGUUUUCCCCUUUCUUCCCCUUCAAACAUUUCUUUGGCCAUAUCUCCAGAGAUUAGGUGAAAAUCUUGCUACCCCUCACAAGAAGCAAUGUUACUUUUACAUGUCAGUAUAGAGAGGUGGUGUGUGCCUCCUGGGCAUUUGGAAAAUGCAAUAACACAAGGCUGUGAGGUGAAGGGCAUAGAAAACCCUGAUCAGGCCAAUUCCUUGUUUUAUUAGCAUGUGUCCUUUUGCAGCAGGAGCAUUCCACUGCCUGCUCCUUUUUGCAGUAUGAAAGAGAUAGAGGAUGCUCCCCAGUCAUACUUAGCAAAGCCAGACAGCCAUCAAAAACAGUUCCAGCUACAACCUCAGGGGAUCAAGGUUGUUGCAUUUGCCCACUGCAAUAUAACACAAUGUCUCCUUUAACUUCAGUAGUCUUGGAUGCCGAGAUUUAUGUGAACCAUGAACCACGGGAAGAUUUGAAUAUUUAUUGUCAACUAGGGGUGACUCAAAAAUGCACUCUUUUACAUCUGUGGACGUAUCAAUAUAAGAAAAUAAAUUUGAAAAAAGGAGAAAUAAAAUAUGUAGGUACUUGAAGAAAAGGAAUAUAAUUUUAGUGACAUUGUUGCUAUUCCACUGUUCACCUCAAGACUUGACUGACAGAUAAAACAGUCUUGUGUCAAUUUGAAGUGGCUUCUCAUCUCUGAAACUUUCCCUUUGCAGUGAAAUCCCUGGCAGGUCCCUUCAGCUGCCUCAGUGGGAAAGAAGCAAGCAAGAUUACAGACAGGCAGGAAUACCUCCUUUUCCUUCAGCCCUUCACUUUGGUUGUUUUACUUUUCUCUUGUUCUCUCUCUCUUUUUUUUUUUCUUGACUACUAAGGUAUAUUUAGUUUCUUAAAAUUUUUUCAAAUGAUCCUAUUACACAAAUCUGUUUAUAUAAAGGAAAGAAUACUUGAGAGAAGGUUAGACACCAAGAAGGUAACUUUUCUUUAGCAUAAAUGAUGUCCUUGUUGUAAAUAGAACUUAUUUUGAUAUUUGUGCUUAUUUUUAUGACCAUAAAAUGUUUUCCUAGAACAUAAGGCUCUGAAGAGAAUGUUAAGUUGUUAUUUUGAAUAUUACCUGGCCAAAUGGCAUCUUAGAAACUUCUACCUAAGAGGCAUUUAUGGUGAUAGUAUUACAAGGGGGAAAAAAAGUUGGAUGCUAAGGAACUAGCUUUGAAGCUGAAAGAUGCAUGGGACAUACAUUAUUUUUCUUAGAUUCUGGUUUUAAAGGAAUGGUUUGGAUGUAGAUCUAAUAGAAAAUCAAAAUAAAGUCACUGGAAAGAGCGAAGUCUUGCCAGAUCCCUUUCCAUAGUUUACAUGUAUUUCAAAAAUUCACCAAAGAAUGGGCACAAUUGGUGUCUUAGGGUAUGACAUUUAUGUCCAACUAACAUUUAGGACAAGCUUACUAUUUUUUAAUUAAGAAUUUGGCAUAUAUUAAGGAAUCAGUGAAAGCUAAAUGGUUUUAUUAAAACUACCUUAUUAGAAAUAAAUGAGAACAAAUUAGUUCUCCUGAACUGAUCCCACAGGCUCUACACACCACUUCAUAGAUGCCCCAAACAGUGUUUUGAGGCCAACUGCAUAGUCUUUGCUACAGUGGCUUCAGAAGUAGAGUCUUGAAGUUCUCAUGUGGCAAAGUGGGUUAAGAAUCCAGCAUUGUCACUGUAGCAACUAGGGUUGCGGCUUUGGCAAGGGUUCACUCCCUGGCAAGGGAACUGCCACAUGCUGUGAGCACAAGCAAAUGGUGGUGGGGGGGGUGUAUAGUCUUUUUUUUUUUGCCACAAUUGAGGUAUGUGGAAUUUCCCAGACCAGGAUUCGAACCUAUGCCACAGCAGUGACCCAAGCCACCAGAGUGAAUGCCGAAUUCUUAACCUUGAGGCCACCAGUGAGCUCCAAAAGAACAGUCUCUAAAAGUCCAAACUCCUUUUCUCACGAGGAAAAUGUCCUAGAAAAAAAAUUGUGGGUCUUCUCUAGAAUGUCAUUAAAAGAUACUGGCAAAUAACAGAGUGCCAGUACAAAUUCCACCUGGUGAACUUAAUUAAAUAUUGGGAAACUCAGUGUGCUUUUUUUCUUAUUCCUUUUUCAUCAUUGCAAUUCACACAGCUCACAUUUCACUCCUGAGAACUGCUGGCCAGGCUCAUUUGCUUGUCCUGCUGUACUGCUUUUUUGAUCCCUAACAUAGGAAACUACUUACUGUACAUAAUAAAACUAUAGCAUCUUCCUGGCUUUAUCUCAUUAAUCUUCUUGACUAAACAAAACCAAUUUGUCUUCUUGCUUCACCUUUAUCCUUCAAUUAAGAACUUGUUUUCUUACCUUCGGCUCUUUUCCUUCAGUUCACCUCCAGUUGAGUCAACUGUCAUUCUUCAUCUCCAAUAAGUUCUUUGGGUCACUGCCAUCAGUUGUAUAGUUGAAGGACUGAGUUCUUAACCUUUUAACUGACAAAGAAAAGGCCAGACUCUUGUUUUUGAUUUAGCAGAAGUUGCUGUUGCCUUGCUAGAUUAUUAAUACUAAUAUUUACCCUUAUUAAAAAUAACUAUUUAGGAGUUCCCAUCGUGGCACAGUGGUUAACGAAUCCUGACUAGGAACCUUGAGGUUGCGGGUUUGAUCCCUGGCCUUGCUCAGUGGGUUAAGGAUCCGGCGUUGCCGUGAACUGUGGUGUGGGUUGCAGACAAGGCUCGGAUCCCGCGUUGCUGUGGCUCUGGCGUAAGCUGUGGCUCUGGCGUAGGCUGGCAGCUACAGCUCCGAUUAGACCCCUAGCCUGGGAAUCUCCAUAUGCCGCAGGAGCAGCCCAAGAAAUGGCAAAAAAUAAUAAUAAUAGUAAUAACUAUUUAAUUCUGUAUAUGAGAAUGGAACUAAAAAAUUCCUUUCAUGAGUUUCCCUUGCUUCCAGGCAAUAUUUGAUCCUGUAGACAAAAAGAUGAAAUUGUAAAAAUGCCAGAAAUCUAGGAGACAGAUAUCACAGAAAAAUCCUGAGAGUCAAUAAAGUUGGGCAAUCCUAUUCCUUUUUCAAUUCUUUACAUCACCCCAUGAGAAAGCAAAGACUUACAACUUUUCUUUUUUUUAUUAAAGUAUAAUUGAUUAAUAGUAUUGUGUCAAUUUCUGCUGUACAGCAAAGUGAUCCAGUCAAAUGUAUAUAUAUAUAUAUAUAUAUAUAUAUACAUUCUUUUUCUCAUGCUAUCUUCCAUCAUGUUUUAUCCCAAAAGAGUGGAUAUAGCUCACUGUGCUAUACAACAGGACUUCAUUGUUUAUCCAUUCUAAAUGUAAUAGCUUGCAUCUACUAACCUCAAACUCCCUGUCCAUCCCACUCCCCCCCCUCCCCCUUGGCAAUGAUGUCACUUAUAUGUGGAAUCUAAAAAAUGGCACAAAUCUAUCUACGAAAUAGAGAAAAACUCACAGACAUAGAGCAUUAUGACCUUUCUUGAUUAUUGUUCAUGUUCUAGGCUCAUGUUUGUUUUGAAGGGAAAAGCAGAGAGCUGGCUCCUUUAUGGAAAGCUUUUGUUUUAUCCACUGCAUCUCUUCUUGCAUUUAUCCGCUCCUGUACAAUUUUAACCCUGAGAACAAGACCGAAGACAUCCUUAGGAAAAUCACAGUCAUUAUUUUCUCUAACCACUUAUCUUUUCCCUCCUAUGCCCUAAUCUGGUCAUAAUUGGCUUGAGGUGACAUUUACUUUAAAAUGGAGAAAUGAGAAAUAAUGUUUGCAAGAAUGCUAGACCCCAAAAACAGCAAAUAAAAUAGUGUUAAAAAAAAUAAACCAGGAGUUCCCGUCGUGGCGCAGUGGUUAACGAAUCCGACUAGGAACCAUGAGGUUGUGGGUUCGGUCCCUGCCCUUGCUCAGUGGGUUAACGAUCCGGUGUUGCCGUGAGCUGUGGUGUAGGUUGCAGACGCGGCUCGGAUCCCGCGUUGCUGUGGCUCUGGUGUAGGCCGGUGGCUACAGCUCCGAUUCAACCCCUAGCCUGGGAACCUCCAUAUGCCGCGAGAGCGGCCCAAAGAAAUAGCAAAAAGACAAAAAAAUAAAAA
rnacentral:lncRNA from 1 species